AAAGCAAAACGAAUUUUAUUUUUAUGAUCUGAAUCCGACUCGAAUGAUUUUGGACCGAGCCCGAAAUCCGACCCGAAGCCAGACCGAUUUUGUGGGCCUUGGGCCAACCCGAGUUCAUUUCCCGUCCUAAUCAAUAACCUAUAUAGAACUUCCUAAUUUGAUAUACAUAAAUAGAUGUAUUUUGGAUCGAUCACCAACCUGAAAGCUGAUAUGGGUCACUGAUAUUAUAAUUGCCUUGACCCUCAAGCACCCUAAUUGAAGAAUGGCAUGAAGACUUUCUGGCCUAUUGAUAAACCAUCAAAAUUCUUCUUCGUUUGGCCCUGGACUAAAUUAUCUGCAUGGCCCAUCUCAUGAGCACCAGCCAGGCCGACUGGCAGAUGCC
rnacentral:lncRNA from 1 species